AGCGGAGGAAAAGAAACCAACAGGGAUUGCCUCAGUAACGGCGAGUGAAGCGGCAACAGCUCAAAUUUGAAAUCUGGCCGCAAGGUCCGAGUUGUAAUUUGUAGAGGAUGCUUUUGGCGAGGUGACUUCCGAGUUCCCUGGAACGGGACGCCAUAGAGGGUGAGAGCCCCGUACGGUCGUGCCACCGAGCCUCUGUAAAGCUCCUUCGACGAGUCGAGUAGUUUGGGAAUGCUGCUCUAAAUGGGAGGUGUACGUCUUCUAAAGCUAAAUACCGGCCAGAGACCGAUAGCGCACAAGUAGAGUGAUCGAAAGAUGAAAAGCACUUUGAAAAGAGGGUUAAAAAGUACGUGAAAUUGUUGAAAGGGAAGCAUUCAUGACCAGACUUGGGCUUGGUUGAACAUCCGGCGUUCUCGCCGGUGCACUCUGCCAGCUCAGGCCAGCAUCAGUUUGCCCCGGGGGACAAAGGCGGCGGGAAUGUGGCUCCCCACGGGGAGUGUUAUAGCCCGUCGUGUAAUGCCCUGGGGUGGACUGAGGUUCGCGCUCGGCACGG
rnacentral:sRNA from 1 species